rnacentral:rRNA from 1 species
UACGUAGGGUGCAAGCGUUGUCCGGAAUUAUUGGGCGUAAAGAGCUCGUAGGCGGUUUGUCGCGUCUGCUGUGAAAACCUAAGGCUCAACCUUGGGCUUGCAGUGGGUACGGGCAGACUAGAGUGCGGUAGGGGUGACUGGAAUUCCUGGUGUAGCGGUGAAAUGCGCAGAUAUCAGGAGGAACACCGAUGGCGAAGGCAGGUCUCUGGGCCGAUACUGACGCUGGAGGAGCGAAAGCGUGGGGAGCAAACAGG